AGUGAACGCUGGCGGUAGGCCUAACACAUGCAAGUCGAACGGCAGCACAGUAAGAGCUUGCUCUUACGGGUGGCGAGUGGCGGACGGGUGAGGAAUACAUCGGAAUCUACUUUUUCGUGGGGGAUAACGUAGGGAAACUUACGUUAAUACCGCAUACGACCUACGGGUGAAAGCAGGGGAUCUUCGUACCUUGCGCGAUUGAAUGAGCCGAUGUCGGAUUAGUUAGUUGGCGGGGUAAAGGCCCACCAAGGCGACGAUCCGUAGCUGGUCUGAGAGGAUGAUCAGCCACACUGGAACUGAGACACGGUCCAGACUCCUACGGGAGGCAGCAGUGGGGAAUAUUGGACAAUGGGCGCAAGCCUGAUCCAGCCAUACCGCGUGGGUGAAGAAGGCCUUCGGGUUGUAAAGCCCUUUUGUUGGGAAAGAAAAGCAGCAGGUUAAUACCCCGCUGUUCUGACGGUACCCAAAGAAUAAGCACCGGCUAACUUCGUG
rnacentral:rRNA from 1 species